UACGGGGGGGGCAAGCGUUGUUCGGAAUUACUGGGCGUAAAGGGCUCGUAGGCGGCCAACUAAGUCAGACGUGAAAUCCCCAGGCUCAACCUGGGAACUGCGUCUGAUACUGGAUGGCUUGAAUCCGGGAGAGGGAUGCAGAAUUCCAGGUGUAGCGGUGAAAUGCGUAGAUAUCAGGAGGAACACCAAUGGCGAAGGCAGCACUCUGGGACGGUACUGACGCUGAGACGCGAAAGCGUGGGGAGCAAACAGG
rnacentral:rRNA from 1 species